rnacentral:rRNA from 1 species
AUGACCAAGAGGUUGCCGGCAGAGGGGAGCCGCCGGAAGGGUUGCCUCUUUUGGCGGCGAUGGCUAGGGUUCCUGGUCGCUAGCCCCCUGAGGCAGCAAAUAUCGCUAAAAAAUGACUUCGCGGGGACCAAAAGCACAGCACACGGCGGCCGGACUACCGGAGCAAAGCACUAUAAAAUACAUGUAUUGUACAUGCUGCUCCGAUCAGAUCGUGCACAGCCGGUGCAGUAUACAUACAUGAUGUCUUCCCAGCCUAGAAUCAUGACGACGACCAAGGAGGAACGGCAGCAAGAGCUGGAGUUCCUGUGGAAGUGGCGCAAGUACCUGCUGCUGCUGGCCACACUGGUCGCCAGCGUCACCUACGGCGCCGGCCUCAACCCGCCGGGCGGCGUGUGGUCCGAGGACAACUACGCCCCAGCGCGCCACGUCGGCGCCGUCCACCCGCGGGCGCGGGCGCCGGUGUCCCCGGAUGCGGCGGUCUACCCGAACCGCGUCGGCGACCCGGUGCUCGUGUCCACCUACUCGCGCAGGUACAAUGCCUUCUUCUACUGCAACGCCGCCGCCUUCGUCUCGUCCCUGGUCGUCAUCAUGUUCCUGCUGGACGGGCGCAUCAUCGACAACCCCGCCGGCCUCAUCGUGCUCCGUGUCGCCAUGCUGCUCGACCUGCUCGCCCUCAUGGCCGCCUUCGCCGCGGGGAGCUGCCGCGACGUGGUCGCGUCCAUCUACGUCUCCGCGCUCUUCGGCCUCGCCUUCGCCUACGUCGCCAUCUACGUCCGCGUCGAAAGAUUCUGUCGGUCGGCCCCGGCAGAGGAGAAGGAGAGCCUCAACCUCAAAGAGCGGCGCAAGAUGCUGCUGCUGCUCGCCACCUUCGCGACGCCGCUGACGUACGCCGCGGGCCUGGCGCCGCCGGGAGGUUUCUGGAGCCAGAGCGUGGCCGAGCACCACGCCGGCGCGCCGCUGCUGCACGACGGGCGCUACAAGAUCCGCUACCACGCCUUCUUCUACGCCAACGCCAACUCCUUCGUCGCCUCCCUCGCCAUCAUCAUGCUGCUCAUGAGCAGGACGCUGAGCGACCGCCUCACCCGCUCCCGCGUGCUGUUUGUGUGCGUCGUAGUGGAGCUGCUGGGCCUCAUGGCUGCCUACGCUGCCGGGAGCUGCAGAUGGCCCACCACCACCGUGUACGUCGUUUCCCUCGUCGGCGCCGUGCUCCUCUACAUUGUGCUGGUGCCGGUGUUCCCCUUGAAAGCGUUCACGAGAUGCCGGGAACUCAUCCAUAAAAUACCUCGAAUCAUGAACAGCGCGAGGACAGUCGACAUCGAUGAUGGGCAGGAAGACAAGCUGGAGCAGGCGCGGUCGCUCGUUCUGCUGCUUGCCACUUUGGCGGCGACGGUGACCUACCAGGCAGGGCUGAGCCCGCCGGGCGGCGUCUGGCCGGAAGGGGAUCUGAAUCACACCGCAGGGAACCCGGUUCUUCAGGACAUGCACCCCACGAGGUACAAGGUGUUCUACCACUGCAACACGGCGGCGUUCGUGGCGUCAGUGGUCGUCAUCAUCAUCGUCCAGAGCAAGAAGCUGAGCGCCUUCGGGCGUUCCGCGCUCAACACGGUCAUGAUACUGGACCUGUUCGGCCUCAUGGGUGCCUACGUCGCCGGGAGCUGCCGGGACAACGCCACCACCAUCUACGUCUCCGCCCUGGCCGUCGCCGUCUUCCUCUACUCCAUCGCCAAGGUCGUGGCGUUCGCGGUUGAAGGCAAGGAGAGCACGCCCAUACGGUGGGUGCGUCGAAUAUGGGGUAAUGUUGUACAAGCGUUGCUCCGUCCGUCGUGCCGGCGAAGAGGGGACCCAAGUCAAGGAGAAGAAGAACCACCGGCACAAGGUCAUUCGCCGGCCUCCGAGGCCGAGAGGAAGCGUAUUGAAGAAAAAGCGCUCGAGAGGAAGCGUAAGUUCUUACUGCAGCUCGCCAUCCUCGCCGCCACCGUCACCUACCAGACCGGACUGAACCCUCCCGGCGGGUUCUGGCCAGAGACAGAGAGCAAUGGCGGAAGAUCGCUAACCGCCGGCGACCCGGUUCUCCUCGACCACUACGGGAGCAGGUAUGAGGUGUUCUUCUACUGCAACGCGACGGGCUUCAUGGCGUCCGUCGCCGUCAUUCUCAUCCUGGUGAACCAGAAACUGUACGAGAAGGGCAUCCAGAGCAAGGCUCUCCACGUCUGCAUCAUGGUCGGGCUGCUCGGGCUCAUGGGCGCCUACGCCGCCGGCAGCUGCCGGCUGCUGCGCACCUCAAUCUACGUCUUCGCGCUCGUGGCCGCGGUGGUCGUCUUCCUCGUCCUGCAGAUCCUCUUCUGCGUGUACGCGGAGUUCCACCAUUUGUCACACAACGAAUGGCUUCCGGAGUGCCUGAAGAGGCUGCACGAGGAGGCAUCGUCGCCGCCGGCACCGACGGAGGACGAAAGCAACUGGCGUCAACAAGAACGAUACCGCCUGCGCAAGUCCCUGAUGCUGCUCGGCAUCCUCGCGGCCAGCGUGACCUACCAGGCGGGUCUCGCGCCUCCCGGCGGCACGUGGGGCGACGAUGACACCGCGUCCUCGCCGUCCCCGUCGCUUUCGCCAUCGCCGUCGGCUGCAUACCUCUCCCAUGCCGGCAACCCGGUCCUGCUCGACACCAACCCACGACGGUACCAGGCCUUCUUCUACUGCAACGCGACGUCGUUCGUGGCCUCCAUCGUGGUCAUCAUGCUGGCGCUGCAGUACACCGUGAAGAAGCAGAUCGCCCCGCUGUGGGCGAUGCAGAGCCUGCAGACCGUCAUGGUGCUGGACCUGGUCGGCCUGCUGGGCGCCUACGCCGCCGGCAGCUGCAGGGACAGGGAGACGUCCGCGUACGUCAUCGCGCUCGUGGCCGCGGUGGUCGCCUUCAUCACCGUCUACAUCCUGCUGCCGUUCCACAUCGUGCCGCGGAAGGCCGUGGAGCACCCGCACCCGGUGACUCACUUGGGAGGAAACAAUGGUGAUGUGAUGAUCAGCCAGGCGCAACAGUACCAGUCACCAGCAAUGAUAUGA